CGCCUCUCAGGGCCAGAACAGCGCUAGCAGCACGCCGCAUCAAUUUGCCGUCCUCUCCUCCAGCUGUCUGGGCCUUGUGAAGGGCUUCUGCUGAAACGGCGCUAACAGCUUCUGCUGGAAAAGCUCCAGCAAAUGAGCGUCACAAAACUCAGCAGGGAAGAUCAGCGAAUGAUUACUCCUUUACUCCAAUUUCAUUUCAGUCUUUUUGUCUUUUUCAUGCAGUGAUAUUUGUCAGUCGUGAAUCUCAAAUACAGUACUAUGAAAGCUGCUGAAGACAAACCAGCGCAAGACGAACCUGUAUUGAAUUAGACAAUGUUGCAAGAUCAGUUAAUGAAAUAUUGAUAAGAACAUUCCUUCAACACAUGCUGCAGCAGCUGUUCUGGGUCGCAGGGAACCUGGAGCCUAUCCCAGGAAGCAUCGGGGAAUUCAUCACAGGACACAAAUACACAUACUCAUUCAUAGACUACGGACACUGCCAAAUAGCAUGCAUGUCAUUGGCCUGGGGGAG
ensembl:lncRNA